AAGAACAUACUCACUCUUCUCUGAGUAUGGUCUUCCCGUUCUUUCUUUUUGCAAAUCUGAGUUGAGUUCCCUAUAUAUAAUUAUAUUUGAGUCCUUAGUUCAUCACACAAGCCCAACAUAAUUUCAGCCUCGCCAAAAAUCUGGCAGAUUUGUUGGAAAAAGUUGGACCCCCAACACUACACGUUUCAGGCACCAAGAACACAACAAACAACCCCAUAACCAAAAUGAAGGAAACAAACAUUAGAAGAUGCCGGGUUUCAUGGUGCAAAGCAUGGUAAGGCAGGCCUGCACCACAAUAAAAGUGAAUAUUAUAUUUGUGCUAACCGUGAUGAAAAAACCUGUUGUUGUUUUGGUCUCCCUACAUUUCAUUGGCAAUUAGUCACCCAACAGACUCCAAGACUAAGUGAAACCCAUCACAAACACACAAAUCGCCAUCACAAUUACGUACUGCUGCAAACUUUGGUAUGGUAUUUGUUGCUUUUAGAUAUACGGCAAGAAUUCUCUCUACCACACUCUGAGCUACAAGCAUUUGGAGGACACCUUUAAUUAGUAAUGCUCUUCUCCCAAAAUAUCAGCUCCCAAGAUUGUCACAAUUGUGGAAACUGAAUUAAUAGAUCCAAUGAUGACAGUAGACAACAGAGAUGCAUUUGCUCCUAACCCCAUUGUUUGGAACCAUACAGGACCCCAUUGUUUGGAAUAAUACAGGUGAGUAGAACAUGAUGACAUUGAUGCCGGUCAACUCCAAAAAUAUCUGAAGAAUGGUGUCGCAGAAAAGUUGCUCUGCCAAGGACGACAUCAAGGUAGACCGAAUAUGUGAAAAACUUAAGCAUUUAGUCGUCAUAUUUAUAAUAAUUAUCUUCUUGAAUCAUGUGUUUCUUCACGUACAUAGCAUGAAAGAAUUUUUUAACAAAUCCAUUCAUUGAAGUCACUCCACCUAUAAAGUGAUAAAUAAAGAGAAAUAAUUUGAUUAUACCAAGAGCGGGAGGAAUAGUUACGAGAAAAUAGAGAAAUAGGUGGAGUGACUUCAAUGAACGGAUUUGUUAAAAAAUUCUUUCCUGCUAUGUACGUGAAGAAACACAUGAUUCAUGAAGAUAAUUGUUGUAAAUAUGAUGACCAAAUGCUUAAGUUUUUUACAUCUUCAGUUACCUUGCUGUCGUCCUUGGCAGCAACUUUUAUGCGACACCAUUCUUCAGAUAUUUUUGGAGUUGACCGGCAUCAAUGUCAUCAUGUUCUACUCACCUGUAUUAUUUCAAACAAUGGGGUCCUGUAUUGUUUCAAAUAAUGGGGUUAUGAGCAAAUGCAUCUCUGUUGUCUAUUGCCAUAAUUGGAUCUAUCAAUUCAGUUUACACAGGCAAUCUUCGGAGCUAAUUAUUUUGGGAGAAGAGGCUUACUAAUUGAAGGUAUCUCCCAAAUGCUAGUAGCCCAAGGUGUGGUAGGAAGAAUUUUUGUAGUAUUUCUGAAGGCAAGAAAUACAAUAUUAAAGUUUGCAACAAUAAUUGUGCUAAUUUGUGUGUUUGUGAUGAGUUUCGUUUGGUCUUGGGAUCCAUUGGGCGGCUAUUUGUCAGUGAAAUAUAUCCACGGGAUAACAAAACAAUAGAUUUUUUCUAUCACGGUCAGUGUAAAUAUGAUAUUCACUUUUAUUGUGGCGCAGACCUUUCUUAACUUACUAUACUUUUUACCAUGAAAUCAUGCAUCUUUGCAAAUAUCUGGUGGCACAACAAACUUUCAUUUCGGAGAAUUAUCAUCCGUGACCGGUAUUUUUCUUAAACGCUUAUUUAUUACUUGGUGAUAUUCAUGUUCUUGUUAAUUGUUGCUGCCUAGUUAAAGUAGUACCUUUUGUGUUGUUCCUAUAUUUUGUGCCUUUAAACUAGUGCUAAAUUUUUCCAUAAUUUUGAAGUAUAAAUUUUGAUAUCUGAUUCUUCUUGGUUGCUUCCUUCGUUUUGGUUAUGGGGUUGUUUAUUGUGUUCUUGCUGCCUGAAACUAAGGGGAUCCCCAUUGAUGAGAUGAAGAAAAGGGUUUGGAAGAAAUAUUGGUUGUGGAAGAGAUGUUUUAAUGAAAAAGAGGGAGAACCUUUGAAUUUUGAAUGUAAAUUUAAAGUUUAAUGUGAA